rnacentral:ribozyme from 1 species
UGCCCAGCAACUCCUAUCCCUACCUCCACGCGGUACCGGCCGGAAACUAUGAGCAACCUUAGGGAAGAUCGGGUAACCAACCCCGGUGGGACCUUUGGUCGUAGGCUGAUAGGGAAGG